rnacentral:rRNA from 1 species
ACUCAAAGGAAUAGACGGGGACCCGCACAAGCGGUGGAGCGUGUGGUUUAAUUCGAUGCUACGCGAAGAACCUUACCAAGGCUUGACAUCCUAGGAAGGCCCUAGAAAUAGGGCUGUGCCUUCGGGAGCCUAGUGACAGGUGAUGCAUGGCUGUCGUCAGCUCGUGUCGUGAGAUGUUAGGUUAAGUCCUUCAACGAGCGCAACCCUCGUGAAUAGUUGUAUAUGUCUAUUCAGACUGCCUCGGUAACGGGGAGGAAGGAGAGGAUGACGCCUGGUCCGUAUUUCCCUUAUGUCUUGGGCAACACACACGCUACAAUGGCCGGUACAAUGGGCAGCUAAGCAGCAAUGCGGUGCUAACCUCAUCAAAACCGGUCUCAGUUCGGAUUGUAGGCUGAAACUCGCCUACAUGAAGUCGGAAUCGCUAGUAACCGUAGGUCAGCACACUACGGUGAAUACGUUCCCGGGUCUUGUACACACCGCCCGU